rnacentral:rRNA from 1 species
GUGACUAUACGUUUAACGGCCGCGGUAUUUUGACCGUGCGAAGGUAGCGCAAUCACUUGUCUUUUAAAUGGAGACCUGUAUGAAUGGCACGACGAGGGCUUAACUGUCUCCUUCCCCAAGUCAAUGAAAUUGAUCUCUCCGUGCAGAAGCGGGGAUAGGCCCAUAAGACGAGAAGACCCUAUGGAGCUUUAGACACUAAAACAGCCCAUGUUAAAAACCCUCACAAAAGAGACUAAACUAGAUGGUCCCUGUCCUAAUGUCUUUGGUUGGGGCGACCACGGGGUAACAAAAAACCCCCGCGCGGAACAGAAACACUGUUUCCAGAACCAAGAGCACCCGCUCUAAGUAACAAGACCCACUUGACCUUUGAGAUCCGGCAUUAGCCGAUCAACGGACCGAGUUACCCUAGGGAUAACAGCGCAAUCUUCUUCGAGAGUUCAUAUCGACGAGAAGGUUUACGACCUCGAUGUUGGAUCAGGACAUCCUAAUGGUGCAGCCGCUAUUAAGGGUUCGUUUGUUCAACGAUUAAAGUC